rnacentral:lncRNA from 1 species
ACAGCCAGUUGGUAAAUAUUUACCAGGUCAGCACUGGAAGGGGCAGGGUUGAGGAGCACAGUACAGAAGCUCCAGGGUAAGAAAACAACCAAGGAAGAGGUAGAAAAAGUGAGGAGAAUCAAGAGAAUAGCUGCUGUAAGCUGUGACUGGUUCAAGCAUUUCCUCAAAUGGAGAUUCCCAGCCAGAACUCAUCAGUGAGAGAAGGGGCCCAACUGAAGGAGUGGAAGCAUCUUCAGGAAGAGAAGGAAGCUGAACAAGAGGUGGAAAAAUCUAGAGAAUCAAAAGCAGAGCCAGAAGAGAAGACUGAAGAGUUAUUUCUCAAGAUGAAGAAUCUUAAUGAAAUGAUGCUGCUGCAAAUGAAAAUAGUUAGAGAUGAACUCCAACAAUGGAUUGAGAAAAACAACAACUUUCUCAAAAAAAUUUACUCAUCAGAAUAUACAAUGCAGGGUUUAUUAAGAGAAAUGACCAAGAUAGACUACCUUAUAGAAAAAUCAGAUGAUGAAGAUAGCAGUCUAUCCGGAAAUGAACACCCCCAAAAACUGGAGGCCAAAAAAUGGAGGAAAAUGGACUCAAAAGAAUAUCCUUCCCUGGACAGUAUCCUCAAAGAGUCUGCAGAGAAGAUCAUAAGGAUUAAAGGGCAGGUACAAAAUACUGACAAAGAAUUAGUCCAGGUAAACAAGCUUUGCUUAAUUAAUGAUGGGGCUGUUUUGGGACAGAAUUAAGCUAGAUUCCUAAACUAUAGUAAAACCCCAAAGUGUGUAUUUAGAAAUUCAUUACAUUGUGAAGCAGGGUGUUUCUGGUCAUUAGAAAUGUCCAAGAGCAGCCUGAUUGAUUAAUCAGCGGUCAGGGAUAAAGUAGGGGCAAUUUCUAGAUGAGAUGAACUCUAGGAUCCCUUUAUACUUUGAGUCUAGCAUUCUGUGUAGUACACGUUUCACGAGAACUGACAUUGUCUUGUGUAAUCAGUACCAUAUUAGGACACGAAAAGGAAAUCUAGGUUUUCCAUGCUCUAAUUUUCAAAUCUAUAACAUGGGAAGAAUACUUGCCACCUGCCUGAUUCAGAACUAUACACGCUUCUCGUAGAUAUGGCUUUGUUACUCCAUCAAUGUGGGUACUUUCUCCAACUCCACAGAUUUCUCAGCUCAUCCAGGCUUUCAUAUUCUACAUGGAUCUUGCCCUUGUCUUUCUAUUACUUUGAAAUAUGGAUCUAUUCAUCAAAGAAUUUUAGGAUCAUAAAUUUAAACGCUGGCUGGUCUAACCCUUUCAUUUUACAGAUAAGAGAAUUGAGACGCAGAGAAAUUAAGUGACUCACACAGAGAUAAUAAUAGAGAGGCAGGAUUGGAAACGUGGAUUGCAAAUUCACCACUCUUUCUACUAUGGCAGACUGCAUGGAUACCAGGGGAAGAGAGCAUACACAUUGUCCUACAACUCUCCUUUGCUUUCUCUUUUUUUCUGAUCAUACAUUUCUCUGAUGACAUCUUUUAUUCCAUUUUUGUAUAAUUCUACAGCCUUCUUAUGUUCAUGAUGAGACUUUUCCAUUGCCCUUUGGAUGACCCUUCAUUUCAAUACUAUUUUAUGACUAACAGCCAAACAAUAUGGAAGAACAUGGAAGCAAAACACAACUGGUCUUUGUUUCAGGGAAAGGCAGGACCAUCAAAAUUCCUUCAGAAUUUCUCAAAGGCAAUUGGGGUUGCUCUCCUUCUACUAUCAGUGUUGGCUCAAGAGAGAUAAUAUGGCUCUCUGAUAAUGAGCUCCAUCCAAUGUCUGGACAAUAAUCUUUUUCACCUACCUGGACUUUUCUGUGUGGUCAAACUCUGACUACUGGAAAUUCCAAACUGGAUGCCUCAUAGAUCUUUCCAACUCAAUAUGUUAAAAUAAAAACUCAUUUUCAAACUCA